rnacentral:lncRNA from 1 species
GGGAACUCAAAUUUCAACUGCUGGGAUGGGCAAUUGCCCUCUGGCUAGGGCUAAUUUAAAUGUUCCCUCUGUGUGCAGGCGUCAGCUGAGUUCGUUAUUUUGCUUUCUGCUAUGACAGGGCAGCACUGAGUUCAAUGCCUCACUUCAAUUGCUGUGCUUUCCCUCUUCCAAGUAGUCAGAUUCUCUCUCCACACCCCUCAGCCACUGCUAGGGGAUGGGGAGGUGGUGUCAGUGAGUCAAGACUGUUUUUCCUACCUCUUCAGUGCCUCUUUCAGUGAUAUGAAGUUAAAACCAGCUUCAGGAAUUUCUAUGAACGUAUCUUCAAGCUCAUUGGUUCUUUACCCAACCAUGUCCAGUCUACUGAUGAGUGAAUCAAAGGGAUUCUUCAUUCCUGUUGCAGUAUUUCUGAUAUCCAGCAUUUCCUUUUUAUUUUCCUAGGGUUUUCAUGUCUCUGCUUACAUUACCAUGUGUUGUCCUUAUAUGUGGUGCACUCUAUCCAUUAGUGCCCACAGCAUAUUAAUCAUGGGUUUUUAAAUUCUUGGUUUGACCCAUUAAAAAAUUGGCAAAGGACAUGAACAGAUACUUCUGAAAAGAAGACAUACAUGUAGACAACAAGCAUACGAAAAAAAUGCUUAACAUCACUGAUCAUUAGAGAAAUGGAAAUCAAAACCACAAUGAGAUACCAUCUUACACCAGUCAGAAUGGCUAUUAUUAAAUAGUUAAAAAAAAACAACAACAACAGAUGCUGGCAAGGUUGUGGAGAAAAGGGAACGCUUAUACACUGUUGGUGGGAGUGUAAAUUAGUACAACCAUUGUGGAAGACAGUGUGGCAAUUCCUCAAAGAUCUAAAAACAGAAAUACCGUUUGACCCAGCAAACUCAUUACUGGGUAUAUACCCAAAGGAAUGUAAGUCGUUCUACCAUAAAGACUCAUGCACAUGUAUGUUCAUUGCAGCACAAUUCACAAUAGCAAAGACAUGGAAUCAACCUAAAUGCUCAUCAAUAGUGGACUGGAUAAAGAAAAUGUGGUACAUAUACACCAUGAAAUACUAUGCAGCCAUAAAAAAGAAUGAAAUCCUGUCCUUUGCAGGAACAGGGAUGGGAACUGGAGGCAAUCAUCCUAAGUGAAUUAAUGCAAGAGCAGAAAACCAAUGCUACAUAUUCUCACUUAUCAGUGGGAGCUAAACAUUGAACACACAUGUACACAAAGAAGGGGACAAGAGACACUGGGGCCUACUUGAGGGUGGAAGUUCGGAGAAGAGUGAAGAUUGAAAAAUGAUGUAUUACAUACUGUGCUUAUUACCUGGGUGACAAAAUAAUCUGUACACCAAAAACCUGCAAUACUAAAUUUACCCAUGUAACAAACCUGCUCAUGUAUCCACUGAACCUAAAAUAAAAGUUGGAAAAAAAAUUUCAAUCAAAAAUAAAAUUGUUUGAUAAUUUCGACAUAUCUGACAUAUUGAAGUCUGGCUGUGAUGUUUGUUUACUCUCUUCAGACAGUGUUUUUCUCCUUUUAGCAUGCCUUCUCAUUUUAGGUUGAAAGCCAGACGUGAUGUAUCAGGUAAAAGGAAAUAAACUAAAAGGCAUUUAGUGUGGGGUUUUAAGUUUAUCUGGCUAUGAGUUAGGUAAUGUUUCUUGUUUGGGGCAGUUUUAGUUGUCAGAGGCUAAAACUACUAUUUUUUUGACAGGGUCUUGCUGUGUUGCCCCAGCUUGAGAGCAGUGGUGUGAUCUUGGUUCACUGCAAGCUCCACUCGCUGGGCUCAAGCCAUUUUCCAAAUGCAGCCUCCUGAGUAGCUGGGACUACAGGUGCGCACCACCACACCUGGCUAAUUUUUGUAUUUUUAGUAGAGACAGGGUUUUGCCAUGUUGCCCAGGCUGGUCUCAAACUCCUGGGCUCAAGUGAUCCACCUACCUCAGCUCCCCUUCUAGUGUCUGUAUUUUUGUUGCUUCUGUUGUCUUUGGUUUUCCCUAGGAACAUUUUCUUCAAUAGGGUUUGGGCUUGUAGUUCUAUCAGCUGUAACUUUCCGUUAUUGCCGAGGAGCCCAGUUGAUGUGGUGAUAAUGUGUGGAGUGAGAGGAAGCAUUCUAUACUCUUAUGAGGAGGUCUCAAUCUUUUAGUGAAUUGGUGUCCCUGAGAUAGAAACUUCACAAGGACUUCUGAGAUUUUUACCCCUCCUCAGUGAGACAAGAAGGCUAGAAAGGGCUGGAUUUGGGGAGAUCCCUCCCCCUACACUGGGGCUGGGGAGCUGGC